rnacentral:lncRNA from 1 species
CUUCUAAUUCAUUAUGCAAUUACUAAUUAUGUAUGUUCUGGUUCACAACUCUUUUGAGUACUUUAAUCUAUAGGACGCUAUAGGUGAGAGUUGUAGUAUAGGUAUAAGCGUGGUGCUUAGACCUAGAUUACUUGUGGAUAUCCCCUGUCUAGCUGGAUCGUGUGGUAGGCCGCGUAGGUGACAGUUACGUUGGUCCUCUGUAGUCCACCUCUCGUUAGCAGGAUGGGUAGAGUUUAUCGGCCUAAGGAUAAGCAUCCUUUGUGGUGUACUCUUAUCACGUGGUUCGUCCCAGACAUAGACAUACCCCUUUGAAGUAGAGAAACCAUAGUUAUACUCCCUAUUCUGCUACCAUCGCCUAUAUAUUAGAUUGCUCUAUUCUCUAUUCCCAUAUUAUCACUCACUGUUAUCUUACCUUUAAUAUUGUUCUUAUUUAAUUCUAUCAUCUUUCCUAUUUACACUUAUCUAUCUAUCCUAGUUAAGUUAGAGCGUAGUUGGUUCUCCCGUUUCCCUGUGGAUACGAUAAAACCUUUAACCGGGUAAAAGCUUUAAUGGUAUCCGUGCGCUUGCGGAUUAUCUGUGUGCGUAUAAAUACCAUAGUACACUCUAGUGCCAUGCUGGGGAUGACAACCUAGUAUUCAAGUGGUGUUAGCAAGUGUCAACAAGCAUUUUUGGCGCCGUUGCCGGGGAACGGUUGCUGAGUUGACUACGAACUAGCUUAAUCAUUUUCUAAAAAAUAAAAAUAAAAAAAAUAUAUUUUCCUUUUAUCCUUUGCCUCAUCUCUGCUAAUCUUUCUUCUUAUCUAAUCCUUGAUCUCUGGUCUAUCAUGAAUUCAAACAUGUCUAUCUAUGAAUUUCAUAGACCUACGGGCACACAUCUCGAACCACCAAAAUCUUCAAAGCCUAUCAUAGCAUCUAGUUUUGAGAUAGACCCCGAAUACAUAGAAUUUGUUCAAAAACAACCUUUCUCAGGAGAAGGUGAGGAAAACCCAUACACACACCUAAGAGAGUUUUAUCGAGUAUGUGACCUCCUUCGCAUAGAAGGCAUGUCCGAUGAGACCCUCAAAUGGAAGCUCUUUCCAUUCUCUUUAAUAGGAAAAGCUAGACAUUGGUACAAACUCAAAGUAGGGAGUGUUCAUGGAGAAUGGAAGGAGUUACAUAAUAGUUUUCUUUUAAAAUAUUUUCCAAUCCCUAAAGUGGCGGAACUUCGGCGUGAGAUUCUUUCUUUUAGACAACUGGAAGAAGAAUCUCUUAGCAAAUCAUGGGACCGCUUUAUUAACCUUACUCUCACUGGCCCAAAGCUUUCUAUUCGAGAAGAAGUUCUUCUAAUUCACUUUUUUGAGGGCCUUAGUGGGAAAAAUAAGCAAACCUUGAAUACAGCCUCUAGAGGAUCCUUCUAUCACCUACCUGCUAGUGAAGCUUGGAAUUUGAUUGAUUUAUUAAGUGGAAAGUCUCCUAGCUUUUAUAUCCCUGAGAAAGAGACAGAACCAGUUCCUAGACAAGAAGAAGAAGUUUUGAUAGCCAGAUCACAACCACUUCAAUUCCAAACUUUAGCUAUCGAUCCUAAACCAUCAAUACCCCAAAAUUCUCCAAGGGAGGAAGGAAUUCCGACCUUAAAUCUUUCAGAUGCUGAUGGUUUAGACUUCUGGUUCCAUAAGAGACCUUCAAGCAGGGAUAAUUCAAAUCCUCGCAAUAAUGGUUCUCUUAGAGAAUGUCCUGGUUCCUGUUAUGAAGAAGUCGAGGAUGACACAUCAAGUAAAGGAGAGCUAAGCCAUAUUGAAAAUUCUAACACCUCCCCUUUCCUGAUCACAAGUUCAAAAUGGCUAGAAUGUGUAGAAUGGAUGGACAAGGAAGAAGCCUUAAUGAAUUCUGACUUUGGUUCAAUUUCAAAUGGUGAGUUCUUGACUCCCUUUGAAGAUGGGAUUCAUCCAACUAUAGAAGAGGACAUAAGUGAGAACAAUCCAAGAGGAACUCUGAACAUUCAGAUUGGAGACGAAGAUAACAUUAAUGAGCAUGAAAUUUAUUUCAUAGCCACUUUGUUUACUCCACGCUCAUAUGCAACAUCUUCCCAAUCUAUUGGUCUCUCCAACAUCACCACAUUUGAGAUUUCCAACCCCCUCUUCCUUUCUAGUUAUAAAAACUUUAAAAGGGCGGUUGUCGAUGCAUAUGUCUAUAAUAAAUAUUGCAGAUCUCGUUGAGUUGAUCUUGAUAUAGGUCAGCAUUGGAAGGGAAACCACUUCGUCGAUAUAAAUUGAUGGUUUCCCAAGGACAAGCUUAGUGUCUUAAAAUAAGCACUGAUCAGAUCAUAACAUGAGCUUUUAAUUAUUUACAACAUUACCUGGUGUAUUGAGCAUAUAAGGAUAAUUGUAAAAAUAUUCCUUCGGGUAUUCUUGUCACUAACCUUUCCAGGAUUGGAACAAGAAGAUCAGAUGAAUGACAUGCAAGUACAAGGUAUGUCCAACCAAUCAUCAUGGAACACUGAAUUAAAUUCAUCCAAACUUGAAUUCUGCAAAAUUCAAGCUUGGGGGAGUACUUUACAUAAAAACAUCCUUUGCCAUGUUGCUAUGUUGGUUGUCCCUACCUUUAAGACAUGCUCAAUUUGUUAAAUACUAAUCACACUACUUCAUCUCCACUUGAGUAGAUCUCUAUAAAUGCUGUCAUGUUACCUUUGUCUAUUUACUAGUAAGUGUUAGUUUGGAAGUACUGCACAUACUUCUAUUGGCUUUUAAAUUAAGCAUGGUGCUUAGGUUAAACAGCCUUCCUUAAUCUGAUUAGACAUGGAGUCUAGUUCGGUUAUUGAACUAAAAACUUCUUGUGUAGACAUUGGUAUAUUUUUGUCGGACUAACCCCUGUAGAAAAACUUUCAAUAUCUAUUUGAGAAGUCCUGAGAUAAACUCACAUCAAAAACGAAGAGAGUGACACAUGAAGUUUAACAAUUUGCACAAGAAGGACAUAGCUCAUUCAUCAUAGAGAGAUGAUCCAUGGAGGGUGCCACAAACACGAUGCACAACCGCUAAGAAAGGAAAGCUUCCACAAGGUGAUACUGUACCAUCACUCUUCAAGCAAGAAAACAUCUUAAGGUACUUGACUAUCACUUUUAUAAGCUUCUCCUUGGUUCUGGCGUUCAUAUAAAUAAAAGAGACAAACAGGAAUGAUUUACAACUCUAGAUUAACCAACCCAACUGAUUCAACAUGUUUAGUCCUUUAAUCCUUGUUCUUAGUACUACCUCCAUGAUCCCACACUCCUAAUCAUAUGAGCUAAAAUGUUACACAUUCAAUCAUUGUGAGAUAUAAAGAAAAAGACAUAUACAUAGAUAGAUUAUCUUUCCAUAAGGUUGAGCGAUCUGAUCUGACAAAUGUUAUAAGUGCUACACUCAUGAACUUUUCAUCCAUCAACUUUGUCUUGCUCACUAUGCUUAGGGUUAGAGAAGAACAAAUACACUUUAGGUUCUGUUGGUGUUUUCCACCAACAGGACCCAUGCACUUGAUCUCUGCCUUGUCUCUAUGAGCAGGUACACUUUGAGCAAAACACAGAGGAGUUUUAUAACUCUCAGACUCUACCAAGUGAAGGACCUAGAUCUACGAGCACAAACACACUGAGCAAGUUACUGCCAACGCCGCACUUCGAACUGCUGGGCAAACGAAGAACAUAGGUGACACCGUAUCAAGAGGUGCAGACGUCAAGGUCCGCACAUGAAUCAAAUGACGCACUUGAAGAAUGAACACGGUGAGAAGUCUUGUUAAGAAGACUUAAAACAUUGAACCCUCGCCUAAAGGUAAGAUCAGUAGUCAUCCAUAUUUAUCCUUUCUGCAUUCCCUUUUCCCUUUAAUUAUUUACUUUCCUUAAAUAGAUUAUUAGUUAAUCAUGCUAUCUUGAAAAGAAAAUAAAAAUGUUAAAAAAUACUAAGCCCCAUGUGAGUAUACGAGUGGCAUAAAACCCAUAAGUACCUUCACUGUGGUGGCAUAAAAAUAAAAUAAAUAUUUCUUUUCUGCUUUAUAAAAUAAAAAUAUAAAAACAGGGAGUAAUAUUUAUUGAGGAAGCUCAACAUGAUGAAGGCUAGAUAUUUAUGCUAACACUUAAUUAGUUCCACAAGCUUUGUUGUCUAUUUGAGCUCCACAGAAUUUAAGAAUCAAGAAGACAAGCAGACGGAGGACAUUCUAAUCGCUGUCAGAAUGCUGCUGACUUUCAAAUACACCUCUGCCACCUGCUAGCUACAUCAAGAGAAAUUACGUCAAAAUUCAGCUUCGGGGAGAGCACCCCCAUUUAUCUCGCUAAGUAUUUCUAUUUAUCUUUAUACUUAUACUAUAUUAGAAUAUUAAAAUACAUAAACUAUGAAAAACCAAAUAAAGAUUUUGUGCUUAUAUAUAUAUCUUUUGCUUAGUGUGUUUAAUAAAUAAAUAAAGUGGCUAUGCUAAUUUGAAUCUUAAUAAUAAAACUCUAGCAUGGAUAUGAUGAAUAGUUGCUCUACCUAAUUUGCAAAUUUGAAGUUCUCUCUCAAGUUUAGACAUAACUGUUAUAAUUUAAAGCUUGCUCUAGAUCUAAACUUGUGGGAUGAAACCUUGAUCUGAAAUCUAAGUUGUUAACGGAUAUGAUAUGGGAAGGUUGAGCUGUUGUUUAUCUGUUCCUAGAGAUGCUAGAAUUUUGGAGAAUUUUAUCUUUGAAAAAAAUAUUUAAAAUAUUGCAUGAUGAGUUCCUGUAUGAUGAGAGUUUAAAUUCCUACCAUAGCCAUAUAUACAUGCUUGCUAGACUUUGAGCCACACAUUUAUUAUUUACUGCUUAUGAGCAUUGAGUGUGGUCAAGCUGUGUAGACCCUUAGGAGCUUGUCAUGUGGUUAAAAUCAAGAUUCACUUGCACGUUCAUUCAUACAUGCUGCUUCUACUCCGGAAGUACCAUCCACAUAUAUCCACUUAUUUCCAUCUCCAGAACCACCCAAAAAUAUUCUACUCCUAAUCCGGGAGAGAAUAGCCAGAAAUAUUUUUGUUUUCCCUUGUGAAAUAAAUGCUCAAGUUAUCUUGCUACUACCACUUUCUAUAUUAUCUCAAGAGAUGAGUGCUCUAAAAAAAGAGAGAGAAAAGAAGAAAAAAAAUAAUAAACGAGGAAAUAAAAAGGGGCAAGUGCCCGGAACCUCGAAAGAAAAAAAAAGAGUGAGACGAGAGGUAAAAAUGGACAAGUGUCUGACAGUAGAAUUAGGGGUACAAGAUACCCACCUGAGAGGAAAGAAAAAUGAAAUAUAGAGCAUCUCAUUCUCCUCGUAAAGUUUCAAAAAGCAAGGAAGGUAUGUAUCCCCUCAAAAGAGCAAAAGUAGAAUUAGACUUCCACCAUUGUUAUCACCAUCAUCACCAUACACCAUUCAUUCGCCACACAUGCACAUCUUGAUUUGACUUAUUGACUUGUUUCUCUGGAUCCAUGGUUUGACUAUGCAAUAAAUGUCUUGUAAGUAUGUAUUAGCUGUCUCCCAUCUAUGAGCUCUAGAUAUUAAAGCCUUAUUAGAGUAGGGUGAGAGAGAAGGCAAUGUCACUGUGCCUUAUACCACAAAUACCACAUAUCUUGAGAGAAGGCAUAUACCAUCACUGCCUUGGUAAGGAUCCAGAAAUACCACAAAAGAGAGAUUUAGAGAGUCAUACAAGGAAUUUCUGAGUUUUAUUUGAAAAUCUACAAAAACUCCAGAGCUAUAGCUGAUCAAGAAUAAGAGACAUGGCACUUGGCUAGACUGUUCUAUCUUUUAACUACUCAAGACAGAAGUGACGGUUACAAGUCCCAUGGUGAAAGGUAAAGUAAGUAAGUUUUAGUUCUUGAUAGUUUACUCUAACUCAGAGAUGAGAUCUUAUUUAAAAGCAUGUGUACCGUCAAAAUUUUAAGAUAUUGCAACAACUUCUGAUCCAUUGUUGAGUCUAUCCUUGCUCAGGGACGAGCAAGAGGUAAGCUUGGGGGAGUUUGUUGACGGUCCUUAAGUAUCAAAUUUAAUUAUCAAAUAAACAAAGAAAAGGAUCCGUUUUAUCUGACAGAAUUCCACGAGUUUUGGUGUUUGUCUAUUUCUGCAGGGGGUUAUCAGGAAAUAUGGAAGAAAGGCCCACACGUCGGGAUUACAUAGAGAUAUCAACGUGCCGCGCAAUUAUUUUACAUCUAGAAGACUCCAGAAGCCACGGGAAGGAAGCGGAGGCCGAACGGAGCCAGGACCUGGGCGCCUGCCAAAGUCCUUAGGGCGCCCGCCCUGCUACAGUGGCCAAUCACGUUCAACCUCGUGGAUUAUGCUCCACCGACCUAAAGGAUCAAGACUAACCGUUCAAUCAAUGUGAGUUUGAUCCAACGGCCCAGGUUCACUUGAGGGGACUAUAUAACCAGACCCCCUGGCCCCUGAAGGAGGCACCCCUUGAUCAUUACUCAUUAUUCAUAGACAGAGCAAAAGCUAGGGUUUAGAGAUGAGAGCUCUCCUCUCUUCUCUAAACUAGAGUAGAUCUAGAUAGUAGCAAGAUGGAGAGCGAAGGAGGAUUAGAGGAGAGGCCGGCCUGUCGGUUCUUCCUCCGGUUGUACUUUGUCAUGAUCAAGCUCUAAUCAAGCUUGCUCAUGGGAUGACUCUGGUAAUCUACUUCUAAUUCAUUAUGCAAUUACUAAUUAUGUAUGUUCUGGUUCACAACUCUUUUGAGUACUUUAAUCUAUAGGACGCUAUAGGUGAGAGUUGUAGUAUAGGUAUAAGCGUGGUGCUUAGACCUAGAUUACUUGUGGAUAUACCCUGUCUAGCUGGAUCGUGUGGGAGGCCGCGUAGGUGACAGUUACUAGUCCACCUCUCGUUAGCAGGAUGGGUAGAGUUUAUCGGCCUAAGGAUAAGCAUCCUUUGUGGUGUACUCUUAUCACGUGGUUCGUCCCAGACAUAGACAUACCCCUUUGAAGUAGAGAAACCAUAGUUAUACUCUCUAUUCUGCUACCAUCGCCUAUAUAUUAGAUUGCUCUAUUCUCUAUUCCCAUAUUAUCACUCACUGUUAUCUUACCUUUAAUAUUGUUCUUAUUUAAUUCUAUCAUCUUUCCUAUUUACACUUAUCUAUCUAUCCUGGUUAAGUUAGAGCGUAGUUGGUUCUCCCGUUUCCCUGUGGAUACGAUAAAACCUUUAACCGGGUAAAAGCUUCAACGGUAUCCGUGCUCUUGCAGAUUAUCUGUGUGCGUAUAAAUACCAUAGUACACUCUAGUGCCAUGCUGGGGAUGACAACCUAGUAUUCAAGUGGUGUUAGCAAGUGUCAACAAGCAUUUUUGGCGCCGUUGCCGGGGAAACGGUUGCUGAGUUGACUACGAACUAGCUUAAUCAUUUUCUAAAAAAUAAAAAUAAAAAAAAUAUAUUUUCCUUUUAUCCUUUGCCUCAUCUCUGCUAAUCUUUCUUCUUAUCUAAUCCUUGAUCUCUGGUCUAUCAUGAAUUCAAACAUGUCUAUCUAUGAAUUUCAUAGACCUACGGGCACACAUCUCGAACCACCAAAAUCUUCAAAGCCUAUCAUAGCAUCUAGUUUUGAGAUAGACCCCGAAUACAUAGAAUUUGUUCAAAAACAACCUUUCUCAGGAGAAGGUGAGGAAAACCCAUACACACACCUAAGAGAGUUUUAUCGAGUAUGUGACCUCCUUCGCAUAGAAGGCAUGUCCGAUGAGACCCUCAAAUGGAAGCUCUUUCCGUUCUCUUUAAUAGAAAAAGCUAGACAUUGGUACAAACUCAAAGUAGGGAGUGUUCAUGGAGAUUGGAAGGAGUUACAUAAUAGUUUUCUUUUAAAAUAUUUUCCAAUCCCUAAAGUGGCGGAACUUCGGCGUGAGAUUCUUUCUUUUAGACAACUGGAAGAAGAAUCUCUUGGCAAAUCAUGGGACCGCUUUAUUAACCUUACUCUCACUGGCCCAAAGCUUUUUAUUCCAGAAGAAGUUCUUCUAAUUCACUUUUUUGAGGGCCUUAGUGGGGAAAAUAAGCAAACCUUGAAUACAGCCUCUAGAGGAUCCUUCUAUCACCUACGUGCUAGUGAAGCUUGGAAUUUGAUUGAUUUAUUAAGUGGAAAGUCUCCUAGCUUUUAUAUCCCUGAGAAAGAGACAGAACCAGUUCCUAGACAAGAAGAAGAAGUUUUGAUAGCC